UAGGCUGAAUGUGCAGAGCAGUCUCCUGGGCAGGUAUAAUGCUUUACAAUUAAAUUGUUUGUUUGUUUUUAAUGUUUUAUUAACUGUAUUUCAGAAAUAUCAUUUAUUUCUUUUGUCCUUCUAUGUGUUUUGUCUGGCCAAAGGGACCAUGCUAUGGAAAGAUAAACAAACCCAAUAUGGGAGCAAUGAGCCUCCCAAAAUAACAGUGACUACCCAAGCUGAUGACUGAGGAGCCACUCCUUUUAAAGCCAUUUUACCAUUUAUGGUAAUAAUAUUUACCUUACAGAAUGAUGUCAGUCUUGAGGUUUUAUGAUGUCACCAAUUGUGAGGUAAGCGGAUGGAGGAGAUAUCUUGGGCCGAGCAAGCUGUGGCCCCUCAGUAUAGGCUGGUGCCUGUGGGCACUAAGAAGCCCAGGAGUGAGGGGCUCAGUUCACCCCCCCACAGGGAGGAUGUUUCCCAGAGGCUGGGCCCGAGAUCUGUACCAACCUCAUUGUGUGAUCAAGGUUCGAUACUUUUUCCAGACCCUGUGGGUGAAAAUCUACACAGCCUUGCCAUGGGUAACUUUGGCCUUAUCGUACAUCUGGAAUAAUUUCAUAGUUCUUUUCGACAUCUUGGCUGAGAAGCUCUAUAAUACAUCAAUGCUGGUAUUGCAGCAGAAUUUACUUGUGGAAUGUAAAAUUGGAUUCUGGAAAUAUUCUCAAAUUAUGCUCCAUUGGAUAUGUGUGGGAACCAUGUGGUUGCUGAGAUAUAUAUGGAAACACCCCGGCAGGGCCCUACUCAGACUGUGCCACUGGGGUUACUACGUUAUGGUUAUAUGCUUCCAAGAAGACGCUUUUAACAUUAUUCUGAGGACCAUUCAAUACCAUCUGCUUUUCAACUUAGUUUUAAAUACCCUAGAUUGGAUUGAGGACCUGAUCUACAAGAAAUACUUAAUUAGCAGAAUGGCAAAGGCUCGGUGGCAUGAGGAUGUGUUACUUUUACUCUCUCCUGUGGAUGGGUGGGCCAUUGCCUCGGGCCUCCCUUCCUUCUCUCUAUAAACCUGCUGCAAGCUUGCAUGGUCAAGCAAAACAGAUCCCUUCACACUGCCAUAUCUUGAGUCCAUCGCUGACAUCUGUCAGGAAGCGUAAGUACAGCACAGUAUAUUCUUCAUCUCUGGUCUUUUGAAAGGCUCACUUCUGCUCUUCCCACAGGAAAUUGUGCCACAUCAUCUCUACCAAUCCCUCCUGUAUCAUCGCCAUCCAGUUGACGUAUCCCAUCUUUUCUGCAAUGGGGUACCGAACACAGGACGAGGUAGCAGGGGAAGGGGGGGAUGACAGGGAUGUUAAACAAAGGAGAUGUGCCAGUCUGAUAUGGGGAAUUAAGGACAGAGUGAUGGGAGGAGCCUUCUAAGGGAACAUGGAUGAUCCAAGGUUACUAUGGAUUGAAUCAGGUAUGUAGCAGCUAUGGCUAACAAAAAAAAGCCUAGAGGGACAUGCAAUUUAAGAGGGGAAAUGUGCACCAUUUAUAAUAUCCACCCCUCUCAGCUUUCACAGACCACUGUGAUCACAGACCACUGUGAUCAGUUUAAUCUCCCUGUCUAGUUUUUCCCUAACAAUCCUGACCUCAUUUUCUAUUGUUUGCUUCACAGAAUUAAUUUGAAGUCUAAUUCUGUUGAUUUAAUAACACAAAUCCAUGAGAAAUGUAAAAGUGACAGUUGGCAGCCAGGUAAGAAGUCCCCAGGACCCAGAAUGCUUAAGACAUGUUAGUUUUAUGUAAACGAGUGAGUUCAUUUGGUGAGUUCAGUUGAAAGGAGCAGCGGAUAUACAAUAUCAGUGAUGGGCAUCUGCUAUAUUCCAGCCAAGAAAUAGUAGAAAUGCCUUCAAGGCACUGAAAGUGAACAAACAUAAUGUGAAUGGGAAAACAGGGUCUGUCUCCUCCACUUUGUAGAGGUGGGGGGACUGACUGCUUAUGGGUAUGGCACAUUAUGCUGUCAGACGUGACCACCAAAUUUGCUUUUGUGGGAUAUUUUUUCUUUCUUUUUUAAGUCAGUAUUUACAUAAUUGCAUUAUUACAUAAAUGUGACAUAUUUAAAUCAUUAUUACAAAGGAUGGCUUGUUGGAGGAGGGAAAGGCAGCCAUGAUAUAUUGAGGGGGGGACCUCGUUAAUAAUGGCCUGUCUUGCUCUGGUCAACCAUGAAACAUCCUGAGGCUUCAUCCCUUUUUCUGUUUCAGUAUCCAUUUUAUGGGGGCCCCAGUGCUGAGUUAUCUGGCCUGAAGCAGCCCUUGAGAAUCCCCGAAGGUGUCUGGAGUAGAAGAAUUUGGACAAAUAAUCUAGGCAUCAGAUGGAGGUGGAUAUGAAUGGAAGGAGCUGAGGAAGUGGUGCUGGGAGGAUGAGGGGAGGGAGGGGGGCGGUAAAGGCAGGAUAGCCUAACUGUUUCUGAAGAUAUACUAGCUAGGUCAGCUAGUCAAGUCCAUGUGAGCCCAUGGAGCAGUCCCAGAGGUAGAAAUCUUCUUUCCCGGGCCCACCAGGUACUAUAUUAGAUAAGGAGGAUCCAUGAUCAUGCCCUAGGCCCAAUGUGGCCUCGGGGGAGCAUCCAGAAGAAUGGAAACAGUGUGGCGAGAGGUCUGGAUCAUCUCUAUGUAUCUAGACAUGUACACACUCAACGUUAACACAGGUGUGUUAUUAUAUAUAUAUAUAUAUGUAUAUAUUAUAAUACUUAUAAAACACACACUAACACAUUCAUAGAUAUACCAGGGCAUAAAAUAACACAACCAUCAUACAAUACAUACAUACACACUGACAACUCAUACACAAAGAUAAUGUAUAAUAUUCACACACUCAUAUACUACAUAACCCCAUCAUACAACACUCGUGUACACUCCAAAUUCAUACACACAGGCAUAUUAUAUCUAUUACUCACAUAAAAGACACACUUGUGUGAACACACUCAUACAGUGUACAGUGCAUGUCAUACAGUGCACAAACACACUCGUACACGAUGUGGCUUACAUGUAUAUAAAACACACAAUAGACACACAACACAAACACUAUACACACCCAUAGAUAUACACUUGUAUACAAAGGCUCACUUAGUAAACUCAACACAUAUGUAUACAAGUGAGCACACUUAAUAUAUACACACUCACACAAACAUGCUUGCUUAUAAAACACACACUCAAACCUGCAAUAUUCAUAGACACAGAAAUGCUCUAACAAUGGAUUUUGUUAUCCCUUAGAGAAAAAUUAAAUGGCCAAUACACAUUGUUUGUUAGUAUAAAAGUUAUUCUGGAACUUGAAAAUGUCUCUGAAAGGCAAGUAAUAAUGUCUGAGCAUAAAGUCAAAAGAACUUUUUCUGUGUUAUAGGAGAUAAUCGCGGACAUGAUUCCGAUCAAGGUGAAUUCUGUUUCUUUUCAUCAAAGGGUAAUUAUCAAUGAUCCAGGUCUAAAUCUGAAUUCUCCUCCGACACCAGGGAACUCUUUCCAAAGUCAGAAUGUGUGUUUAUGGGUGCUCUACCCAUUGAGUUGUUUAACUGUAUUUUCCUUUUCCAAGGGUCACCAGAGGAUUAUGCACUAGAAUUGAACAAAGCUUUAAUGAAGGUAAUUUGGUAAGCCCACAUGCCUGUCUGACUAGUUCCGAGUGUUUGUUUCACUUUACAUUUGGAUGUGAUUAGAAAUGGAAAAGUAAUCACACAGUGAUGCAGAAAUAAAUCCUAAUGCCAGAGUUGGAAAGCUGCUUGG
rnacentral:lncRNA from 1 species